rnacentral:sRNA from 1 species
GCAGAGGUCAAGGAAUUGACGAAACGGGCAACUUCGAAAUCUUGACAAAUAGUAACUUCUGACCUAGAGGGGUAAAGUAUCCGAAGUCGACCAGGAUCUCAUUGCAAUUUUGCAGUGUCUCCUGCGUAGCAGCCGGGAUGGUGCGUAAGCUCAACUGAGUUCAAGAAAGGUUGUUCGAGCUUUCAUUCUGGCUGAACAACAUCGAUGUCAGGCUGGGGGACAUCAAGGGGAAUCACGGCAAAGGCUCAAAAACAUCACUUUGUUCACACCGUCCACAUCUGUGACUCAUAUUUACGAAUCUCCUUGCACCAGCUAGAAUGAGCUCAAGAGCCACGAGGGACUAGAUCGCGCCUCCAUCAAGCUUACGGAGUUCAUUUGGCAAAUGGGCGCUACUGGAAGCUCUGCCGAAUUGAAUGGUUUACGGAAUAUAAGUUUGAACAUGGUUCUAGCGAUACAACUCCUUGAUCUUUUUAUUUUUAUUAUCUAUGGAUCUAUUACAGAUCUGUACAGUUAUGAGUGAAAAAUCAGUUGCUGGCCUAUUUCUUCCAGAGACGAGUGAAAGGGUUUUGAUCAAAAGCGGCUGUAUAGGCACUGUACCAAUAGCUCCAGCAACCUCCAGACAAGGAGCAUCUCUAGCCAUCUGAAGUUUCCAGGUCUCUGGGACCAUGUUCCCCUUAAGUCGGCCUCCUUUCGUUGCGCGGAAUGGCACU